CGCCACAGGCCAGUCAGAGAAUAGUGGAUCUGCGGACAGCUCAUCUGAUAUGUCUCCACACUCCAGAGUGGGUGGGGAGAUCAAGAAGACAACUGCAGGACAGCCAAAGCCAACCUUGGGACAAGCACAUCCUAAUGCAGGUGGUCAAGGACAAGAUCUGUUUGUGGAUAUUUCUUCAAUAUCUGUGAAUGAGACUGAAUGCAUUGGACGAGGAUCCUUUGGUUCAGUUUACAAAGGAUCGUACCAGGGACAACCUGCUGCAGUGAAGGUCAUACAGAUUGGAGACAAUCAAGUGACCACCAAUGAACUGAUGAUACCCAGGCGUCUAUGUCACCCCAACAUUGUGCAGAUGAUGGCAUGCUCUGUAAGUGAGACACGGAUCCUAAUUGCUAACGAGUACAUUGACGGACCAAAUCUACACAAUAUUCUCCACCGUGUCACUC